rnacentral:rRNA from 1 species
GCGUAUAUUAAAGUUGUUGCAGUUAAAACGCUCGUAGUCGGGUUUCGGGUCGGGCCGAGCGGUCUGCCGAUGGGUAUGCACUGUUUGGCGCGGCCUUCUUUCCGGAGACCGCGGCUACUCUUAACUGAGCGGGCGUGGGAGACGGAUCGUUUACUUUGAAAAAAUCAGAGUGUUUCAAGCAGGCAGCUCGCUCUUGCAUGGUACAGCAUGGGAUGAUUCAAUAGGACUCCGGUGCUAUUUUGUUGGUUUCGAACACCAGGAGUAAUGAUUAACAGGGACAGUCAGGGGCACUCGUAUUCCGUCGAGAGAGGUGAAAUUCUCAAGACCAAUGGAAGACGAACCACUGCGAAAGCAUUUGCCAGGGAUGUUUUCACUGA